rnacentral:rRNA from 1 species
ACGAACGCUGGCGGCGCGCUUAACACAUGCAAGUCGAACGGUGAACGGGGCUUCGGCCCCGGGAUCAGUGGCGAACGGGUGCGUACCACGUGGGCAACCUGCCCCCGACUCUGGGAUAACUCCGGGAAACCGGAGCUAAUACCGGAUACUCCGUCUGGCCCGCAUGGGCCGGCCGGGAAAGAUCAGUCGGUCGGGGAUGGGCCCGCGGCCUAUCAGCUUGUUGGCGGGGUAACGGCCCACCAAGGCGACGACGGGUAGCUGGUCUGAGAGGACGACCAGCCACACUGGGACUGAGAUACGGCCCAGACUCCUACGGGAGGCAGCAGUGGGGAAUCUUGCGCAAUGGGCGAAAGCCUGACGCAGCGACGCCGCGUGGGGGAUGAAGGCCUUCGGGUUGUAAACCCCUUUCGGCAGGGACGAAGCGAUAGUGACGGUACCUGCAGAAGAAGCUCCGGCUAACUACGU